UACAGAGGUCUCAAGCGUUGUUCGGAUCAUUGGGCGUAAAGGGUGCGUAGGAGGGCAGGUAAGUCAGUGGUGAAAUCUCCAAGCUUAACUUGGAACUGCCGUUGAUACUAUCUGUCUUGAAUACCGUGGAGGUGAGCGGAAUAUGUCAUGUAGCGGUGAAAUGCUUAGAUAUGACAUAGAACACCAAUUGCGAAGGCAGCUCGCUACACGAAUAUUGACUCUGAGGCACGAAAGCGUGGGGAUCAAACAGG
rnacentral:rRNA from 1 species